rnacentral:lncRNA from 1 species
UUAUAAUUGUUCAUAGAAUUGAAUUUAUAGAUGGAUGCCAAUGCUAUUUUUUAAUAGAUUGAUUAUAACUAUUCUUAUUUGAGAUAUUUUUUUAACAAAUUGAUCAUAACCAUUUAUAGAGAAUAGAUUUUUAUAUGUAGUAGAAAUUUAAUAGAUUGAACAUAACCGUUCGUUUUUAUUUGACAUAUUUUUUAACAAAUUAAUUAUAACCAUUCGUAGGGAAUAUUAUUUUAUAUUUAAUAGAUUGAUCAUAACCAUUAAUUUUAUUUGAGAUAUUUUUAACAAAUUUUUAUUUGAGAUAUUUUUAACAAAUUAAUGAUAACCAUUCGUAGGAAAUAUUAUUUUAUAUUUAAUAGAUUGAUUAUAGCUGUUAAUUUUUAUUUGAGAUAUUUUUAAUAAAUUAAUUAUAACCAUUCGUAGGGAAUAUUAUUUUAUUCCUUUUUGAAUUCCGCCUGUCAUUGUCGGAAUUCUUAUACGCUUUUAUAUAUAGUAUAGAUAUAGAUAUAGAUAUAGAUAUAAAUAUAGAUAAUUUGAAACUUUGUUCCUUUAUGAAUAUACUAUCUCAAUUCAAAAUUUCAUCACUU